CGAACGCUGGCUGUCCUGCCUAACACAUGCAAGUGGAGCGACUAACCGGGCUUCGGCCCGGGGCAAAGCCUCCCACGGGUGAGUAACACGUGGGUAACCUGCCCUGAUGAUCGGGACAACCCGAGGAAACUCGGGCUAAUACCGAAUGUGCCCUCCGGCCGUAAGGCCUCUGGGGAAAGGAAGCUUCGGCCUCCGCAUCGGGAUGGGCCCGCGGCCCAUUAGCUUGUUGGUGAGGUAACGGCUCACCAAGGCGACGAUGGGUAGCUGGUCUGAGAGGACGAUCAGCCACACUGGGACUGAGACACGGCCCAGACUCCUACGGGAGGCAGCAGUGGG
rnacentral:rRNA from 1 species